rnacentral:rRNA from 1 species
CGCGUAGGCGGAUGAUCGUGUCCGGGGUGAAAUCCUCCCGCUUAACGGGAGAAGUGCCUCGGAAACUGGUCGUCUCGAGGGAGGUAGGGGCGGUCGGAACUUCCGGUGGAGCGGUGAAAUGCGUAGAUAUCGGAAGGAACGCCGGUGGCGAAAGCGGGUCGCUGGGCCUCUUCUGACGCUGAUGCGCGAAAGCCAGGGGAGCGAACG